rnacentral:rRNA from 1 species
AUUGAACGCUGGCGGCAGGCCUAACACAUGCAAGUCGAGCGGGGUUUUCGGACCUAGCGGCGGACGGGUGAGUAAUGCGUAGGAAGCUACCCGAUAGAGGGGGAUACCAGUUGGAAACGACUGUUAAUACCGCAUAAUGUCUACGGACCAAAGUGUGGGACCUUCGGGCCACAUGCUAUCGGAUGCGCCUACGUGGGAUUAGCUAGUUGGUGGGGUAAUGGCUCACCAAGGCGACGAUCCCUAGCUGGUUUGAGAGGAUGAGCAGCCACACUGGAGCUGAGACACGGUACAGACUCCUACGGGAGGCAGCAGUGGGGAAUAUUGGACAAUGGGCGCAAGCCUGAUCCAGCCAUGCCGCGUGUGUGAAGAAGGCCUUCGGGUUGUAAAGCACUUUCAGUAGGGAGGAAGGGUGUUGUGUUAAUAGCACAGCAUUUUGACGUUACCUACAGAAGAAGCACCGGCUAACACUGUGCCAGCAGCCGCCGUAAAAC